rnacentral:SRP_RNA from 1 species
GCCGAGUUAAGUAAUAAGAGCUUGUAACCCAAGUGGGGGCAUGAAGGUGAUGGAACAACUUUGUGGUUCUCGGGUUGGAGUUAUAUUGGAAGGAUAACGAGUUAUUGCCACCACCCUCUAAAGAAUAACCUGGACUGCCCCACUUCCUUGGAAUAUCACCUUU